GAUGAACGCUGGCGGCGUGCCUAACACAUGCAAGUCGAGCGAACAGACGAGGAGCUUGCUCUUCUGACGUUAGCGGCUGACGGGUGAGUAACACGUGGAUAACCUACUUAUAUGACUUGGAUAAUUUCGGGAAACCGGAGCUAAUACUGGAUCAUAUGUUGAACCGCAUGGUUCAAUAGUUAAUGACGGCUUUGCUGUCUCUUAUAGAUGGAUCCGCGCCGCAUUAGCUAGUUGGUAAGGUAACGGCUUACCAAGGCUACGAUGCGUAGCCGACCUGAGAGGGUGAUCGGCCACACUGGAACUGAGACACGGUCCAGACUCCUACGGGAGGCAGCAGUAGGGAAUCUUCCGCAAUGGGCGAAAGCCUGACGGAGCAACACCGCGUGAGUGAUGAAGGUCUUCGGAUCGUAAAACUCUGUUAUUGGGGAAGAACAACUGUGUAAGUAACUAUGCACGUCUUGACGGUACCUAAACAGAAAGCCCCGGCUAACUACGUG
rnacentral:rRNA from 1 species